AGUAACGCGUGGGUGACCUGUCCUGUAGUGGGGAAUAACUGCCCGAAAGGGUGGCUAAGACCGCAUGAGCUUCAUCUGUCGGAGGGUGAAGGAAAGCCCCGUGAGGGGUGCUAGAGGAGGGGCCCGCGUCCGAUUAGCUAGUUGGGGAGGUAACGGCUUCCCAAGGCGACGAUCGGUAGCUGGUCUCAGAGGAUGAUCAGCCAGACUGGGACUGAGAGACGGCCCAG
rnacentral:rRNA from 1 species